UCCUUAACAGCUAGCCCAAACCCCCAAACAAACAACUCCUUGUAAACACCAAUACAAAACCCCCCCCCCCCCCCAAACCAUUUUUCCUCUCAAGUACUGGGCGACAGAAAAGGGCCCCCCGGAGCCACAGAAAAAGUACCGUAAGGGAAAGCUGAAAGAGAAAUGAAACAACUACCACAAGCUAAGUAAAGCAGAGAUUCCGCCUCGUACCUUUUGCAUCAUGGUUUAGCUAGUAUAUCUAAGCAAAGAGCCCUUUAGUUUAGACCCCCGAAACUAGAUGAGCUACUUCAAGACAGCCUAUGUUGGGCAAACCCGUCUCUGUGGCAAAAGAGUGGGAAGAGCUUCAAGUAGAGGUGAUAAACCUAUCGAGUCUAGUAAUAGCUGGUUGCCUAAGAAGUGAAUAGAAGUUCAGCCUCCCGGGCCCCUCAGCCCCGUAAAUUAUUAUUUACCCACGACCUCAGGUCAACCGAGAGAGUUAGUCAAAGAGGGUACAGCCUCUUUGAAAAAGGACACAACCUCACUGGGAGAAUAAAGAUCAUAUUUAAUUAAGGAAAUCUGUUUAAGUGGGCCUAAAAGCAGCCACCUAAAAAGAAAGCGUUAAAGCUCAAACACAAAUACACCCCUUAAUACCGACCCAAACUCUAAACUCCCCUACCCCUAUUAGGCCAUCCCAUGCCAUCAUGGAAGUGACCCUGCUAAAAUGAGUAAUAAGAGAGAAACGCCUCUCUCCAACGCACAAGUGUAUCUCGGAACGGACCCCCCACCGACAACUAACGACCCCAACAACAGAGGGCACUGUAAAACCCCAUAAGCAACUAGAAAAACAAACACAGACCAAUCGUUGACCCUACACAGGCGUGCAAACCAGGAAAGACUAAAAUAAAGGGAAGGAACUCGGCAAACACAAGCCUCGCCUGUUUACCAAAAACAUCGCCUCUUGCAAAAACGAAGAAUAAGAGGUCCCGCCUGCCCUGUGACUAUAUGUUUAACGGCCGCGGUAUUUUGACCGUGCGAAGGUAGCGCAAUCACUUGUCUUUUAAAUGGAGACCUGUAUGAAUGGCACCACGAGGGCUUAACUGUCUCCCCUUUAAAGUCAAUGAAAUUGAUCUCCCCGUGCAGAAGCGGGGAUAACCUCGUAAGACGAGAAGACCCUAUGGAGCUUAAGAUAUAAGGUGGCCCACGUCAAACACCCCUGUUAACGUGUUGAACAAACUGGCACACCACCAAACAUAUCUUUGGUUGGGGCGACCGCGGGGAAAGAGAAAACCCCCAUGUGGACCGAGGGAACACCCCCUUAAAGCUAAGACCAACAGCUCAAAGCAACAGAAUUUCUGACCAUUUAUGAUCCGGCAAAGCCGAUCAACGAACCGAGUUACCCUAGGGAUAACAGCGCAAUCCCCUCCCAGAGCCCAUAUCGACGAGGGGGUUUACGACCUCGAUGUUGGAUCAGGACAUCCUAAUGGUGCAGCCGCUAUUAAGGGUUCGUUUGUUCAACGAUUAAAGUCCUACGUGAUCUGAGUUCAGACCGGAGUAAUCCAGGUCAGUUUCUAUCUACGUAAUGAUCUUUCCUAGUACGAAAGGACCGAAAAGAAGAGGCCACUACCAACAGCACGCCUCACCCCCAACUGAUGAAUAAAACUAAAACAGGAAAGGGGGCAUACCCUGCCUUCCCAAGAGAAUGGCAU
rnacentral:rRNA from 1 species